UACGGGGGGAGCAAGCGUUUGUUCGGAUUUACUGGGCGUAAAGGGCGCGUAGGCGGUCGUGACAAGUCACUUGUGAAAUCUCCGGGCUUAACUCGGAACGGUCAAGUGAUACUGUCGGACUAGAGUACAGAAGGGGCAACUGGAAUUCUCGGUGUAGCGGUGAAAUGCGUAGAUAUCGAGAGGAACACCUGCGGCGAAGGCGGGUUGCUGGGCUGAUACUGACGCUGAGGCGCGAAAGCCAGGGGAGCGAACGGG
rnacentral:rRNA from 1 species